CCUACGGGAGGCAGCAGUGAGGAAUAUUGGUCAAUGGGCGUAAGCCUGAACCAGCCAAGCCGCGUGAGGGAUGAAGGUUCUAUGGAUCGUAAACCUCUUUUAUAAGGGAAUAAAGUCGGGGACGUGUCCUGGGUUGUAUGUACCUUAUGAAUAAGGAUCGGCUAACUCCGUGCCAGCAGCCGCGGUAAUACGGAGGAUCCGAGCGUUAUCCGGAUUUAUUGGGUUUAAAGGGUGCGUAGGCGGCCUGUUAAGUCAGCGGUGAAAGUCUGUGGCUCAACCAUAGAAUUGCCGUUGAAACUGGGAGGCUUGAGUAUGUUAGAGGCAGGCGGAAUGCGUGGUGUAGCGGUGAAAUGCUUAGAUAUCGCGCAGAACCCCGAGUGCGAAGGCAGCCUGCCGGGCCAUCACUGACGCUGAUGCACGAAAGCGUGGGGAUCAAACAGGAUUAGAUACCCUUGUAGUC
rnacentral:rRNA from 1 species